UGGGGAAUAUUGCACAAUGGGCGCAAGCCUGAUGCAGCGACGCCGCGUGGGGGAUGACGGCCUUCGGGUUGUAAACCUCUUUCAGCACAGACGAAGCGAAAGUGACGGUAUGUGCAGAAGAAGCACCGGCCAACUACGUGCCAGCAGCCGCGGUAAUACGUAGGGUGCGAGCGUUGUCCGGAAUUACUGGGCGUAAAGAGCUUGUAGGUGGUUUGUCGCGUUGUUCGUGAAAUCUCACGGCUUAACUGUGAGCGUGCGGGCGAUACGGGCAGACUAGAGUACUGCAGGGGAGACUGGAAUUCCUGGUGUAGCGGUGGAAUGCGCAGAUAUCAGGAGGAACACCGGUGGCGAAGGCGGGUCUCUGGGCAGUAACUGACGCUGAGAAGCGAAAGCGUGGGGAGCGAACAG
rnacentral:rRNA from 1 species